rnacentral:lncRNA from 1 species
GCCGCCUUCUUCUCGCCGGAUCCGGGGGGUCAGUGCAGCGUGACGGCGCGGGAGGGUGGGGAACGGCCCCGCGGCGCGAUUCUGCCUGCAGAUUUGGCCGGAAUCGCCGGCGGAGGAACGACGGAAGCAAGGGCGGUCGGCGGCGGAAGGGGAUGGGGAAAAUGCACGCGGGCUGAAAUGUCCCUCCCGCCAACUGCUUCUCUGUGAUGCAGGGCACCGCAGCUGCGACGGGGAAACCCGCGUAUUCGCGGGUUGGGGUCGAGAUUUUGCCGCGCCCCUUCAAAAAUUUUGCUGGCCGGGGCGAUAUGCGGGGUCUAAGAGCAACUCUAGCAGACCCCGCAUCCGCCCCCGACCCGGAAAAUAACCGCCAAAAUGCGGGUCGGGGGGUGAUGGGGCAG